GUGGGGGAUAUUGCACAAUGGGGGAAACCCUGAUGCAGCAACGCCGCGUGUGGGAAGAAGGUUUUCGGAUUGUAAACCACUGUUCUUGGUGAAGAUAAUGACGGUAACCAAGGAGAAAGCUCCGGCUAACUACAUGCCAGCAGCCGCGGUAAUACGUAGGGAGCAAGCGUUGUCCGGAUUUACUGGGUGUAAAGGGUGCGUAGGCGGCUAGGCAAUUUAGACGUGAAAACCAUGGGCUCAACCUGUGGACUGCGUUUGAAACUGUUUAUCUUGAGUGAAGUAGAGGUAGGCGGAAUUCCCGGUGUAGCGGUGAAAUGCGUAGAGAGCGGGAGGAACACCAGUGGCGAAGGCGGCCUACUGGGCUUUAACUGACGCUGAGGCACGAAAGCAUGGGUAGCAAACAGGAUUAGAAACCCUUGUAGUCC
rnacentral:rRNA from 1 species